rnacentral:rRNA from 1 species
CCCUUAGAUGUUCUGGGCCGCACGCGUGCUACACUGAGUGGAUCAGCGGGUAAGGUUGCGCGAAAGUGUUUCCUAAUCUUUAAAUCCGCUCGUGAUGGGGAUUGACGGUUGCAAUUUUCCGUCAUGAACGAGGAAUACCUUGUAAGCGCGGGUCAUCAUCCCGCGCUGAAUACGUCCCUGCCCUUUGUACACACCGCCCGUCGCUCCUACCGAUUGAGUGGUCCGGUGAGGCUUUGGGAUCUGAGCGGAAAGAGCGUUUCGCUGUUUCUGCCCGGAAAACUCAGUCGAACCUUAUCAUUUAGAGGAAGGAGAAGUCGUAACA